UACGAAGGGGGCUAGCGUUGCUCGGAAUCACUGGGCGUAAAGGGUGCGUAGGCGGGUCUUUAAGUCAGGGGUGAAAUCCUGGAGCUCAACUCCAGAACUGCCUUUGAUACUGAGGAUCUUGAGUUCAGGAGAGGUGAGUGGAACUGCGAGUGUAGAGGUGAAAUUCGUAGAUAUUCGCAAGAACACCAGUGGCGAAGGCGGCUCACUGGCCCGAUACUGACGCUGAGGCACGAAAGCGUGGGGAGCAAACAGG
rnacentral:rRNA from 1 species